rnacentral:rRNA from 1 species
GGCAACGGGUGAGUAACACGUGGGUGAUCUGCCCUGCACUCUGGGAUAAGCCUGGGAAACUGGGUCUAAUACCGUAUAGGACCAUGCUUUAGUGUGUGUGGUGGAAAGUUUUUCGGUGUAGGAUGAGCCCGCGGCCUAUCAGCUUGUUGGUGGGGUAAUGGCCUACCAAGGCGGCGACGGGUAGCCGGACUGAGAGGUUGGUCGGCCACAUUGGGACUGAGAUACGGCCCAG